UAGCAAAAUGUACAAGAGUGAGGGAACUCUAGGUUUGAUCCUGGACCGACGAUAUGUCAAAUAUUAGG